rnacentral:rRNA from 1 species
UGGGGGGUGCUAUACAUGCAGUCGAGCGAACAGAUAAGGAGCUUGCUCCUUUGACGUUAGCGGCGGACGGGUGAGUAACACGUGGAUAACCUACCUAUAAGACUGGGAUAACUUCGGGAAACCGGAGCUAAUACCGGAUAAGAUUUUGAACCGCAUGGUUCAAUAGUGAAAGACGGCCUUGCUGUCACUUAUAGAUGGAUCCGCGCCGUAUUAGCUAGUUGGUAAGGUAACGGCUUACCAAGGCAACGAUACGUAGCCGACCUGAGAGGGUGAUCGGCCACACUGGAACUGAGACACGGUCCAGACUCCUACGGGAGGCAGCAGUAGGGAAUCUUCCGCAAUGGGCGAAAGCCUGACGGAGCAACGCCGCGUGAGUGAUGAAGGUCUUCGGAUCGUAAAACUCUGUUAUCAGGGAAGAACAAACGUGUAAGUAACUGUGCACGUCUUGACGGUACCUGAUCAGAAAGCCACGGCUAACUACGUGCCAGCAGCCGCGGUAAUACGUAGGUGGCAAGCGUUAUCCGGAAUUAUUGGGCGUAAAGCGCGCGUAGGCGGUUUUUUAAGUCUGAUGUGAAAGCCCACGGCUCAACCGUGGAGGGUCAUUGGAAACUGGAAAACUUGAGUGCAGAAGAGGAAAGUGGAAUUCCAUGUGUAGCGGUGAAAUGCGCAGAGAUAUGGAGGAACACCAGUGGCGAAGGCGACUUUCUGGUCUGUAACUGACGCUGAUGUGCGAAAGCGUGGGGAUCAAACAGGAUUAGAUACCCUGGUAGUCCACGCCGUAAACGAUGAGUGCUAAGUGUUAGGGGGUUUCCGCCCCUUAGUGCUGCAGCUAACGCAUUAAGCACUCCGCCUGGGGAGUACGACCGCAAGGUUGAAACUCAAAGGAAUUGACGGGGACCCGCACAAGCGGUGGAACAUGUGGUUUAAUUCGAAGCAACGCGAAGACCUUUACCAAAUCUUGACAUCCUUUGACCGCUCUAGAGAUAGAGUUUUCCCCUUCGGGGACAAAGUGACAGGUGGUGC